GGACUACAGGGGUUUCUAAUCCUGUUCGCUCCCCACGCUUUCGCUCCUCAGCGUCAGUAUCGGCCCAGAGACCCGCCUUCGCCACCGGUGUUCCUCCUGAUAUCUGCGCAUUUCACCGCUACACCAGGAAUUCCAGUCUCCCCUGCCGAACUCAAGUCAGCCCGUAUCGACCGCAAGCCCCCAGUUAAGCCAGAGGUUUUCACGGCCGACGCAACCAACCGCCUACGAGCUCUUUACGCCCAAUAAUUCCGGACAACGCUCGCACCCUACGUAUUACCGCGGCUGCUGGCAC
rnacentral:rRNA from 1 species